rnacentral:rRNA from 1 species
UACGUAGGGUGCAAGCGUUGUCCGGAAUUAUUGGGCGUAAAGAGCUCGUAGGCGGCUUGUCGCGUCGGCCGUGAAAACCUGGGGCUCAACUCUGGCCGUGCGGUCGAUACGGGCAUCACUUGAGUUCGGCAGGGGAGACUGGAAUUCCUGGUGUAGCGGUGAAAUGCGCAGAUAUCAGGAGGAACACCGGUGGCGAAGGCGGGUCUCUGGGCCGAUACUGACGCUGAGGAGCGAAAGCAUGGGUAGCGAACAGG